rnacentral:misc_RNA from 1 species
CCCCGCCGUGGUAGCGGUCGCCGCAGUCCCCGCCGAAGACGAAGAGCCUGGCGCCGACGGCGACGGCGCUGUGGCUGUCCCUGGGCGCGGGGGCGCCGCCCCUGAUGGCCUCCGGCGUGGACCACGUCAUGGUGGGCACGUCCAGCACGUGCACGUCGCUGAGGUAGUUGCCCUCCCCCUCCCCGCUCCCGCCGAAGACCACGAGGCGGUCGCCCCCGACGACGGUGACGCUGUGGCUCUCCCGCGGCGACGGCGCCGCCCCCCUGCACUGCGGGCGGCUCCACUCCCUGGUGCGCAGGUCCAGCACGUGCAGCUCGUUCACCUUCUUGCCGCCGUUGGUGCCCCCGAACACGAGCAUCCGGUGGCCCACCAGCGCGGCGCCGUGGCUGUCCCGCGUGCCCGGCCGCUGCCCCGUCGUGGCCAGCGCGCUCCACGCCAUCGUCUCCACGUCCAGCGUCACCACGUCGCUGAAGUGCAGGCCGCCGCAGCAUCCCUGGAGUUAAAGAAUCGCGUCGCGUCACAGCAGCUCCGACACCAACCACAAAGAAACGGAUUGCAGAAUG